ACACCCGCUUAUCCACUAAGCUUUGUUUUCCUUGUAUUUCUUUCGUUUUUUCUGCCUUUUUCUUAAUUUUUCUGACUGAUAGCGGUGUAUGAUACUUUGGGUCUGUCUGAUGAGGAGUGGGAGCGGGUGGCGUGCCGCAUGGCCUUGGGCUCAGUGUGUGAAAUAAGACGGGAGUGGGUGUACGUACUCUCGUCACGUCAUUCUCUCUUCCAGGGUGAUGACUUUUGUGCGCUUGUUUUGUCGCACCAACUAUAGUAAGUGACAAUGCCACGUACGAGUGCAAAAAGAAAGUCGAAAAGUGAAGCAGGCCGCCAGAACAUAUUGAAAAGGUGGAAGAAAUGUGACGAUACGCAUCAGCCACCCUCCCAGGAGGGUGUCAAAGACUUCACAGCAUAUACGCCACGGAAAGCAGUAAAGAAGUCAAAGAAGAAAAGCAAGACAACACCUGGCCCUGAUUACCAGCCUGGCCAUUUCAAAACAAACUGUCCUGGCAACAAGGAGAUGGGGUGGGCUAAACUGAGACCCAGUGAAUGUUAUUUUCAUUUUAGAUAUAUAUAAUAUAUCAAAAAUAUGUUAUAUAAUCUAAUGUGAUUAUAACAGGGGACCAGGAGCCUUGGUUUCUUUGGAGGUCUACCGGGCAAGGGAGAACUCACCUUCCGUAGGGGCUAUACAGGUGACAUAAACAUGAUGUAAACAUGGCCUGAACAACCUAAACAACCACUACCAACCUUCCAGGAAGUCCGAAGAGUUAUAUAAGUAAAUAUUUGGAUUUGGUGCAUGUUGGAGUGAUUUUUUUGGGGUAUUGAAGAUGUUCACACAAAAAUGCAUUUUUCUCAAAACUUGUUUUUUGGCGCACAUAAUGUUGAAUAACUAUUAGUAAUUGACCAUUUUUAGAAAUUCAAGUAUCAAAAUGAUCACCACCCUCGUCUUUAGUAAACGUACUAUCAUCAAGCAUUAAUUUCCUCAAAUAAAUUUAUGACAAAUUUAUAAAACUCAAAUUUUUGACAAAAUAAAAGGUAACAUUUUGCGGUGUAAUAAAUUUGUUGUAACUUCAGCCAGGUGUACGAAAAUAGUAACAUAGGUACUUUAUUGUGUAUAUUAUCUGUGAUCAAAAGGAAAUUGCCAUACUAUUCAUAGUUUUGAAGUUAUCACGUGAUUUUGAAUGUCUUUCGUCAUCGCCAAACAUAACACACUGCACAAAAACUACGGCAUCUUUCCUUACCAUAUUACUGGCAUAGAAGCACUGCAUAUUAAUACACAUUGGGUAAAAAUAUUAUUCACCUAGGUGAGAAAAUAAAGGUAGGAGGACCCAAAAACCGAUAUCAGUGCCAAGCGGCCGAAUUUCCACCUUAAGUAAUUUUGCAGCAAUUUCCAGGUUUUUGUCUACAUCAGUUUAUCAUCAUGUGCCGCCCAUUUCUGUAUAGUUGCCUUCGUUCACCAUUCAAGGUUUCAGUGUUCUAGAAUUACCCUUUUCAUUUCUGCCUAAAUCUUAAGCUUUUUUUUAUGUAUUUAUUUAUUUAUUUAUAUUUUUUUUACGCCUAUUUCGCUGGUAGGCUUACUUGAGGGGCCUGGAUGGUAGUCGGCCCCAGCCCAUCAUGGUGCAGGCAAGUGUUUAAAGAUGAGAAUAAUGAGAUAAUGACUGUUGUUUUCUGAUUUCCUGAAAAGUAGAGAAUAAUGACUUGGGCAGCUUGUUUACGAAGGUGACGACAUGUAACAGGCAGUGCCAUGUAGUGUGUUCCAGUCGCCGUUGCCAGAUUGUUGUACUCAGAGCAUAGUAUUUACCAUUUUCCGAUGCCUAACUAUUGCCAAGAAACAUCAGGAAUUAACUAUUUUAAUGAUAAUUUUAAGUGAAUCUCCUUACUGGGGUCCACAAAGCAUACUAUUUACCGGUUUCUGACGCCUAACUAUUGCCAAGAAACAUCAGGAAUUAACUAUUUUAACGAUAAUUUUAAGUGAAUCUCCUUAUUGGGGUCCACGAGACAGUUUUUGGGUUGGAUGUCGGUAAAUAUAAGAUGCUGAGUAUGACAAUCUGGCAAUUUUGGUUCCAGUGGUGCUGUUCAGGUUCUGCCAUCAUGUACGUAUAUGCAAACACCCGUACCUUACCUCAGCCAAUCAGCGAGUACGCCAUGAAGGGAACAAAAGCCGCCGGGAUUAGUUUGGUUCUGGCGUUUGUGAUGUUUCCGUUAUGGCAGGAAGUUGAUCAGUCAUGUGAGGUGGUGAUGUGUCUCCGCUCGUCCUGUCCCAUUCCUCUAUCCUUCUUUUUCCCUUGUUUUCCUCGGUACAUGUUCUGGCGUCUGUAAUGUUUCCGUUAUGGCAGAAAAACGAUCAGUUACGUGAGGUGGUGAGGUGUCUGUCCGCUCGUCCUGUCCCAUUCCUCUAUCCUUCCUUUCCCUUGUUUUCCUCAGUACAUGUUCUGGCGUUUGUGAUGUUUCCGUUAUGGCAGGAAAUCGAUCAGUUACGUGAGGUGGUGAGGUGUCUCUCCGCUCAUCCUGUCCCAUUCCACUAUCCAUCAUUUCCCCUGUUUUCCUCAGUACAUUUGUGUGUGUGUGUGUGUUUGUCCGUUCAUCAAUCCCUGGUGCUGGAAGAUUGCCGUAUUGUUUUCUCAGGCUAAAAACUUCCAUUCGUGCAUCGGUCAACCAUUUCCGCUGCAUGAAUUUUACAGUAACAUCGCAGUGACACAACUUCCAUCAUUCGCUUGGAUAACAUCAAUGCAUUUAACCCAUGGAGGUAGAAUUGGUGGAUUCGACACGGCCCGCUAAUCCCAUCCAUCGAGGUGAAGCCAUCAAACUGUCAAAUUUACGGCCAAAAGAUGGGGGUGGGCGAGCCUGGCCGAGCCCAUUAAGAGUGAGCCUGACCUGACAACACCUGACACCUGGCCGUAAAAAUGACAGCUCGGGUAGAUUCACUUAACCCGUCCGCUGCAACUGGCACGGAUUUGGCUUUCACUGGUAGCCUGGUAACAUGUAUUCCCAGGUCUUUCUCUGCCUCUGUGGUGGAUAGUGGAGUGUUUCCCAUGUGGUAUUGGUGUGCUGGAUAUCCCCUCCCAAGGUGCAGGAUUUUACAUUUUUCUUCAUUGAAUAGUAUCAUCCACUUUUUGUUCCAUUCCUGUAGCUUGGUGAUGUCUUCUUGUAGGAAAUCCACAGUCAAGGGGUUGAUUUGGCUGAUGUCGACUCCACCAAUUCUACCUCCAUGAUUUAACUUAUACACAAUUAUCUAAACAUGUAUUAAUGGAAGGCUUGUCUGCAGUGCUGGUUCUAGGUACAAGCAAUCCAAGAAGCUGCUUGUGGCUCAUUUGUACACAGUGACCCUUGAACAUUCAUUGCUGGAAAAUAUAACCCACUCAGCCGUGAACUCUUUACUAUAGAAUCUCCACCAGGCAGAUUAAGCAACCCACCUUCAUUGUCCUGUAUUGUGACCUUUUUAAAUACACCUCAGGACGCACUAUAGGGCCUUGAGUCUAUCCUGGUGAGGGCUGAGAGAGACCUAGAACCAGCACUGCCUGUCUGAGAAGGGUGUGGAGAGGCAUUGACCAACCCUGUGUAUGUGAGACUGUGAGUGUGUGUGUGUGGGUGUGUGUCCCCAUGUACAUCUCGGCAGUGCCUCUACAUCCCACUAGAACCAGCACUGCCUGUCUGAGAAGGGUGCGUAGAGGUGCUGGCCAACCCCAUGUAUGUGUGUGUGAGUUUGUAAGUGUGUGUGGGUAUGGGUGUGUGUCCCCAUGUACGUCUCGGCAGUGCCUCUACAUGCCACUAAAACCAGCACUGCCUGUCUGAGAAGGGUGUGAAGAGGUGCUGGCCAACCCCAUGUAUGUGUGGUGAUACUGUGAGUGUGUGUGUGGGUGUGUGUCCCCAUGUUACGGCAGUGCCUCUACAUGCCACAAGCAGCGUCGUAUCCCUGGUUGGUGUGUGUCAGCGUUGUGUCCAGUGGUGCUGUGUGGUGGAUGUCUAACUAACACUUGGAGGUGAAUACAGCAUCAUACGAGGGUGGUGUUUGUACUCCUCCAGGUGUCGUAUCACUCUGUACAAUGUAGUUCAGUAAAGAUCUUCAGUAAAAUCCCAAAGCCAAAC